rnacentral:rRNA from 1 species
GCGGGGGGGGGGCACGGGGGGCCUACGGGAGGCAGCAGUGAGGAAUCUUCCACAAUGGGGGCAACCCUGAUGGAGCAACGCCGCGUGCA